GGAGGCAUGCCUGGCAUGGAAGGUUUGGGCGGCAUGCCUGGCAUGGAAGCUUUGGGUGGUAUGGGUGGUUUGGCUGGCAUGGGCGGUAUGGGCGGUAUGGGCGGCAUGGGCGGUAUGGGCGGCAUGGGCGGUAUGGGCGGCAUGGGUGGUAUGGGCGGUAUGGGCAUGCCACCUGGCAUGGGCAUGGAUGAUUUCGAUGAUGAGAGUGAUGAUGAAGGUUUGUAUUUCUUCUGCACCGCUUCCUAAUUUCUUGUUUUACUUGAGGAUGUUCGUUAGCUAAAUAUGUUCCGCCACCAAAUCCAAUUUAUGGAUGUGUCGUUGAGGGCAUUUCAGUUUGUUGUUGUGGUUAUAUUUAGUUGAACCUGAU
rnacentral:lncRNA from 1 species